rnacentral:misc_RNA from 1 species
AAGGAUCAUUACAGAGUUCAUGCCCUUCGGGGUAGAUCUCCCACCCUUGUGUAUCAUUAUAGAAUGUUGCUUUGGCGGGCCGCGCCUAGUGUGCCUGGAUUCGCGUUCAGCGUGCCCGCCAGAGGACCCCUAAACUCUGAAUGUUAGUGUCGUCUGAGUACUAUUAAAUAGUUAAAACUUUCAACAACGGAUCUCUUGGUUCUG